UCCCCGAUAGCUCAGUUGGUAGAGCAGCGGACUGUUAAUCCGCUUGUCGCUGGUUCGAGUCCAGCUCGGGGAGCCA
rnacentral:tRNA from 1 species